UACAGAGGUGCCGAGCGUUAGGCGGAAUCACUGGGCUUAAAGCGUGUGUAGGCGGCCGUCUAAGUACCUUGUGAAAUCCCACGGCUCACCCGUGGAACUGCUGGGUAUACUGGGCGUCUUGAGCCACCUAGGGGCCAGCGGAACAAAUGGUGGAUCGGUGAAAUGCGUAGAUAUCAGGAGGAACACCGAUGGCGAAGGCAGUGGGCUGGGCCGGCACUGACGCUGAGGAGCGAAAGCGUGGGGAGCGAACAGG
rnacentral:rRNA from 1 species